AUGCCUUAAACUAAUGAGUAAGAAAAAUAGCAGACCGGUUUGAAUUAUCGGUUACCUAACAUAUUUGGGCUAUUGUUUGCAGGGUAUAGGUUGCCCUGUCGUAUCCCCUACUUAGGGACGUGGCGGCGUUAGCGGCCUGCCCA
rfam:Schistosoma haematobium scaffold870_3, whole genome shotgun sequence.